CUCAUAAUGUGUGCAUAGUUUUCAUCUGUGUCUGAUAGCAGCAUCUGUCUGUGUUUUGCAUUCAGAUCUUGUUAUCCACACAAACAUCAUGCAGCCAAAGAGUAAGUUGGGAUCAUAGUACUGGUCUUGUGUUGUCUCUACUACUGCCAGCCUCCAAAUUCCCACACAAGA
rnacentral:snoRNA from 1 species